rnacentral:rRNA from 1 species
UAGUUGGAUUUGGGUCGACCGGGCCGCCGGGCCGCCGCCUCCGUGUGGCGAGUUCCCGUGUGUCCCCGGGACCGCACGUUCACCCCCGCAGUGCUCUUAACUGAGUGUCUGCGGUAGCGGGUGACCGAACGUUUACCUUGACAAAACCGGAGUGCUCGAGGCGUGGGCGUUCGCCGCCCGUACGUCCUCGCUGGGAAUAAUGGAAGAGGACCGUUGGUCAAAAAAGGUUUUUUGUCARAGAGGUGGGAGAGCAAAAAAGAGGUUGUGCUGGUGGGGGGUUACAAAGGGGGGUGACUCCCUUUCCCCCUCUGGUCUUCCUCUUUCUCCUCCUCGAAACCUUCCUCCCCGCGUACAGCACUGUGGAUCGGCUGGCGCUUUAUGGCGGAAAGGGUGGAUCUAGAAAGAAGGGUGAAAGCAGGUGGCUGUUUGCCAGAUGGUGAAAACCGGAUGGCCGGUCGUUUGUGGAAGCCUGGAAUCUUUUUCCCCCUUGCUGUCGUGGUGCUUCCGUACCCUCGGUGUCAGCGGGAGGAGGUCGAAAAUCAAAAUAAAAAAACGUGUCAUGAUUAAGAGGGACGGCCGGGGGCAUUCGUACCGCGGCGCGAGAGGUGAAAUUCUAGGACCGUCGCGAGACGAACGAUAGCGAAAGCAUUUGCCAAGAAUGUUUUCCUUAAUCAAGAACGAAAGUCGGAGGUUCGAAGGCGAUCAGAUACCGCCCUAGUUCCGACCUUAAACCAUGCCGUCCGACCGCCCGCCAGGGUUACUACCGCGACUCGGCGGGCGGUGACUUUCCACCGGGAAACCCUUAAGCUUUCGGGUUCCGGGGGAAGUACGGUCGCAAAGCUGAAACUUAAAGGAAUUGACGGAAGGGCACCACCAGGAGUGGAGCCUGCGGCUUAAUUUGACUCAACACGGGGAACCUCACCCGGCCCGGACACCGCGAGGAUUGACAGAUCGAUAGCUCUUUCUCGAUCCGGUGGGUGGUGGUGCAUGGCCGUUCUUAGUUGGUGGAGCGAUCUGUCUGGUUAAUUCCGAUAACGAACGAGACUCUAGCCGGUUAAGUAGCCCGAGUGGCGUGUUGUUGAUUAAAAAACCGCCCUAGCGGCUUUCGGGGCACUUCUUGGAAGUUGUCUGGCUUUAACGGUGGUGGGACAGGGAGGUGGAAGACGACGGUCGGUGCCGCGUGUGUCGUGGCUCGGAUCUAG